GUGCAUUGUGUUUGGCCACAUUCUCUUCAUGAAGGACACUUUGUGUCCAGGGCCAGGUUCACCUUCACUGCUUAUACAGGGAGAGGCAGAGUGAGGAGCACGGGAGAGAAAGAAUAGAGAGAGGAACUUUAAAGAGAGGUGAGACAGGGAGAUUAAGAGAACGUGGGACAGCAAUUGAGAGAGACAGAUAGUGAAAGGUGACAGGGGACAGAGAGAGAGAGAGAGAGAGAGAAAGAGAGAAAGAAAGAAAGAAAGAAGUGUGUCCUUCACGCUCAUUUUGAGCACCUGUGGAGUAUAACCCUUUCUUCAAAGACAAACGUGUUGGUCAGGGGUUCACCAUGGCAACCAAGACGCUGAUGACACGGGUCCAGGAAGAGCAGUCCCACCAGAUGUCCCACAGCAUGGCGCUGGCCUCGCUGAUCAAGUAGAAAACCUUCACCUCCAGCUUCUGGAUAUCAGGACAGCCAUUACUCACCUCGUACUGGAAGAAUAUUUUUUAUUUAGUGAGUCGAACGGGAAGGAUUUUCUUCAGACACCGGACAAGGCCCAAAUACUGGUCAUUCGCAUGAAGAAGAGACAGAGAUGUCGGGGAGCCUUGUAAGGAGCCAACGGCGAGUGGAGUCGUGGCUGAACAACGACAUGGAUAACAUAUAGCUGGCUGGGUUUUCCAUGCAUCGUCAAGAUGGAACAGCUGCCUCCGGUAAAACAAGGGGUGGCAGUCUGUGUCUAUUUGUAAACAGCAGUCAGCAAUCUAAUAAUGAGGAAGUCUCAAGAUUUUGCUCGCCUGAGGUAGAGUAUCUCAUGAUAAGCUGUAUACCACACUAUUUACCACCAACAACCGAUGCUGGCACUAAGACUCAAGAGCUGCAUAAGCCAUAAGCAAACAAGAAAAUGCUCAUCCAGAGGCGUCGCGCUUCUAGGGGUGGGGGACUUUAAUGGAGGGAAGCUUAAAUCAGUUUUACCUAAUUUCUACCAGCAUGUUACAUGUGCAACCAGGGGGAAAAAAACUCUAGACCAGUUUUAUUCCACACACAGAGACGCGUACAAAGCUCUCCUUCGCCCUCCAUUUGGCAAAGCUGAUCAUAACUCUAUCCUCCUGAUUCAUGCUUACAAGCAAAGACUAAAGCAGGAAGUACCAGUAACUCGCUCAAUACAGAAGUGGUCAGACGACGCAGAUGCUACGCUACAGGACUGUUAUGCUAGCACAGACUGGAAUAUGUUCCGGGAUUAUUCCGAUUGCAUUGAGGAGUACACCACAUCAGUCACUGACUUCGUCAAUAUGUGCAUCGAUGACGUCUUCCCCACAGUGACCAUAUGCCCCAAGAAGAAGCCAUGGAUUACAGGCAGCAUCUGCACUGAGCUAAAGGGCAGAGCUGCCUCUUUAAAGCGGGACUCUAACCCGGACGCUUAUGAGAAAUCCUGCUAUGCCCUCCGACGAACCAUCAAACAUGCAAAGCAUUAAUACAGCACUAAGCUUGACUCGUACUACAUUGGUGCCGACGCUCGUCGGAUGUGGCAGGGCUUGCAAACUACUAUGGACUACAAAGGGAAGCACAGCCAUGAGCUGCCCAUUAACACGAGCCUACCAGACGAGCUAAACUACUUCUAUUCCC
ensembl:lncRNA